rnacentral:rRNA from 1 species
ACAUGCAAGUCGAGGGGCAGCAUUCCUGUUUGCUUGCCAACUGGAGAUGGCGACCGGCGCACGGGUGAGUAACACGUAUCCAACCUGCCGAUAACUCGGGGAUAGCCUUUCGAAAGAAAGAUUAAUACCCGAUGGUAUAAUCAGACCGCAUGGUCUUGUUAUUAAAGAAUUUCGGUUAUCGAUGGGGAUGCGUUCCAUUAGGCAGUUGGUGAGGUAACGGCUCACCAAACCUUCGAUGGAUAGGGGUUCUGAGAGGAAGGUCCCCCACAUUGGAACUGAGACACGGUCCAAACUCCUACGGGAGGCAGCAGUGAGGAAUAUUGGUCAAUGGGCGCAGGCCUGAACCAGCCAAGUAGCGUGAAGGAUGACUGCCCUAUGGGUUGUAAACUUCUUUUAUACGGGAAUAAAGUGAGCCACGUGUGGCUUUUUGUAUGUACCGUAUGAAUAAGGAUCGGCUAACUCCGUGCCAGCAGCCGCGGUAAUACGGAGGAUCCGAGCGUUAUCCGGAUUUAUUGGGUUUAAAGGGAGCGUAGGCGGGUUGUUAAGUCAGUUGUGAAAGUUUGCGGCUCAACCGUAAAAUUGCAGUUGAUACUGGCGACCUUGAGUGCAACAGAGGUAGGCGGAAUUCGUGGUGUAGCGGUGAAAUGCUUAGAUAUCACGAAGAACUCCGAUUGCGAAGGCAGCUUACUGGAUUGUAACUGACGCUGAUGCUCGAAAGUGUGGGUAUCAAACAGGAUUAGAUACCCUGGUAGUCCACACAGUAAACGAUGAAUACUCGCUGUUGGCGAUAUACAGUCAGCGGCCAAGCGAAAGCAUUAAGUAUUCCACCUGGGGAGUACGCCGGCAACGGUGAAACUCAAAGGAAUUGACGGGGGCCCGCACAAGCGGAGGAACAUGUGGUUUAAUUCGAUGAUACGCGAGGAACCUUACCCGGGCUUAAAUUGCAACUGACGGCACCGGAAACGGUUCUUUCUUCGGACAGUUGUGAAGGUGCUGCAUGGUUGUCGUCAGCUCGUGCCGUGAGGUGUCGGCUUAAGUGCCAUAACGAGCGCAACCCUUACGGGUAGUUACCAUCAGGUUAUGCUGGGGACUCUACCCGGACUGCCGUCGUAAGAUGUGAGGAAGGUGGGGAUGACGUCAAAUCAGCACGGCCCUUACGUCCGGGGCUACACACGUGUUACAAUGGGGGGUACAGAAGGCAGCUACACGGCGACGUGGUGCUAAUCCCAAAAGCCUCUCUCAGUUCGGAUUGGAGUCUGCAACCCGACUCCAUGAAGCUGGAUUCGCUAGUAAUCGCGCAUCAGCCACGGCGCGGUGAAUACGUUCCCGGGCCUUGUACACACCGCCCGUCAAGCCAUGAAAGCCGGGGGUACCUGAAGUACGUAACCGCGAGGAGCGUCCUAGGGUAAAACUGGUGAUUGGGGCUAAGU